rnacentral:ncRNA from 1 species
UUUGCAAAGCGAAGAAUCUUACCAAGGCUUGACAUGUCGCGAAUCCUCUUGAAAGAGAGGGAUGCCUUCGGGAACGCGGACAGGUGGUGCAUGGCUGUCGUCAGCUCGUGCCGUAAGGUGUUGGGUUAAGUCCUGCAACGAGCGCAACCUUUGUGUUUAGUUGCCAACAUUGAGUUUGGAACCCUGAAUAGACUGUCGGCUUAUGUCGGUGAUAAGCCGGGGGACUAUAUAAAUUUGCACUCAAUUGAAUUGA